GACGAACGCUGGCGGCGUGCUUAACACAUGCAAGUCGAACGAAGAGCGAUGGAAGCUUGCUUCUAUCACUCUUAGUGGCGAACGGGUGAGUAACGCGUAAUCAACCUGCCCUUCAGAGGGGGACAACAGUUGGAAACGACUGCUAAUACCGCAUACGAUCUAAUCUCGGCAUCGAGGAUAGAUGAAAGGUGGCCUCUACAUGUAAGCUAUCACUGAAGGAGGGGAUUGCGUCUGAUUAGCUAGUUGGAGGGGUAACGGCCCACCAAGGCGAUGAUCAGUAGCCGGUCUGAGAGGAUGAACGGCCACAUUGGGACUGAGACACGGCCCAGACUCCUACGGGAGGCAGCAGUGGGGAAUCUUCCGCAAUGGACGAAAGUCUGACGGAGCAACGCCGCGUGAGUGAUGACGGCCUUCGGGUUGUAAAGCUCUGUUAAUCGGGACGAAAGGCCUUCUUGCGAACAGUUAGAAGGAUUGACGGUAUCGGAAUAGAAAGCCACGGCUAACUACGUG
rnacentral:rRNA from 1 species